UCACGACGCAGGACAAGGUGCUUUGUGCUCUCCGUUUCCUCGCAACGGGGAGCUUCCAAAGAUACAUCAGCAGCAAAGAAUUCAUAACCAUGGGGCAGGCUUUCGUGAGCGAGAGCAUUCACGCGGUUGCGGAGGCAAUAACCAUGGUGGGCCAGCGACAGGGCUGGGUGAGCUUCUCGUUGACACCGGCCGGCAACGCUAGCGCAAAGGCGGCUUUUGCGGAUUGCGGCCGCAUUCCCGGUGUAGUGGCCUGUGUUGACAGGACGCUCAUAGCCAUCAAACAGCCUGAAGAACUCAGUCUGGGCAAUACUGCGGGCUUCAUGUCUAGGAAAGGCUUCUACGCAUUGAAUACCAUGAUCGAGACUCAGGCUACCCUCUUGAGCCAUGGCUGCUCACACCUGUGCCAUGCCAUCCAGGCAUUCACACUCCAGAGGGGUGCUACAACUGGGCCUAUGCCUCCAUGAGGGAUGUUGUGGAGAGGGGCAUUGGCGUCUUGAAGGCAAGAUUUCGGUCCCUUCAAGGGUACUGGACCCUCCUUUAUCAGCCUAAGGAUGCAGCCACAAUUGUGGCAGCCUGUGCCACUCUCCACAACAUUGCUUUGAAGGCAGGGGAGUCAAGAGCUGCAAGACAGCGAUGAGGAGGCCGAGGACGACCAGCCACCGCAGCAAGGACAAUUGCAACAGGACUUUCCUGUGUCCGAAGGGCCUCACACCUGCCGGCAGGAAACGCCCAGAGAGUUGCUCCCGAGGGCAAAGCAGAAGAGGAGCCACAUAAUGAGCGUCUUCUCUGUGGCCCCUACCUGGCGUAUAACUCAUCUGCGUGCGCUACGUCAUCAGCUCAGGCAGCAACACCAGGUUUGUCGCAUGGCUCAACCAUAAAGUGAGAUCUCUUGGGGACAAUAGUGGCCCGUACGAUAUGUUCUGGCUUCUGGGAAGCCUGUUUAUUUUCGUUGGCUUGAGGAUGAUUGUGUUGUGGUUCGAAAAGAAGAAAGUUCGCAACUGGGAACGGGACAUUGCCAGAAAUAUGCCAUGUAUGUUGCACAUGUGAGGAUUGAAGCCACCUAGAACAACUUGUUUUAGUAAAAAAAAAGGUUAUCGGACACAAUUUUGUUCAUUGUAUAUGCGGUGGCCUUCGUAGCCGCCAUUGCCCCUUUAGUAGCUACCUCAUCAGAAGUAAAUCCUCGUCGUAAGCGAUUUUUUUUUCUACUUCAACCGAGCCUCCAGUGAGAGACCCAAAACACUCAUCAUCAUCAUCAGCCUGGUUACGCCCACUGCAGGGCAAAGGCCUCUCCCAUACUUCUUCAACUACCUCGAUCAUGUUCUAAUUGUGGCCAUGUUGUACCUGCAAACUUCUUAAUUUCAUCUGCCCACCUAACUUUCUGCCGUCCCCUGCUACGCUUCCCUUCCCUUGGAAUCCAGUCUGGAACCCUUAAUGACCAUCGGUUAUCCUCCCUCCUCAUUACAUGUCCUGCCCAUGCCCAUUUCUUUUCUUUUUUGAUUUCAACUAAGAUGUCAUUAACUCGUGUUUGUUCCCUCACCCAAUCUGCUCUUUUCUUAUCCCUUAACGUUACACCCAUCAUUCUUCUUUCCAUAGCUCGUUGUG